rnacentral:rRNA from 1 species
CCCCGUAGGUGAACCUGCGGAGGGAUCAUUG